CCUAAGUUUAUAUUUUACAAUUAAAAAAGGAAAAAAUAUUUUCAACAGCAACAAUUAAAAGAAAAAAAAGAAGAUGCAGUUCCAAACCCAAUCACUGUGGCCGUGUAGAUUUGUUUGCGUAUGCUUAGGCAACAACUACAACAGAAUCAGAACAACACUUCCAAACAACAAGAGAAAGAUUUCGAAGGCACUGAGAGUCCGAGCAAUGCGAGCGGUGGUUCAGCGCGUGGACUCUGCAUCCGUCGAAGUCGAAGGCCGCACCGUAUCGGAAAUAGGUCCCGGCCUUCUCGUUCUCGUCGGAAUUCACGAUUCCGACUCCGAUGCCGACGCCGAUUACAUAUGUCGAAAGGUGUUGAACAUGAGGCUGUUUUCAAAUGAAGAUACUGCCAAAGCAUGGGAUCAUAGUGUCAUGCAGAAAAAUUAUCAAGUUUUACUUGUGAGUCAGUUUACUUUGUAUGGAUUCUUGAAGGGUAACAAGCCAGAUUUCCAUGUGGCAAUGGCGCCUCAAAGAGCCAAACCUUUCUAUGCCUCUUUAGUGGACAGGUUUAGGAAUGCUUAUAACGCUGAUGCAAUCAAAGAUGGCAUAUUUGGAGCUAAGAUGAAGGUAAGUUUGGUCAAUGAUGGACCAGUUACCAUGCAGCUUGAUUCACAGUCACCCAAAAAUACAGUUGAUGCAGCUGAAUCUUGAUUGGAGGUUGAUCUGACUUGAUGAGCAUGAAUUUGAAUUCUGACCAUUUUGUCAGCAAGACCAAAUAUUUUUCACACUGUAGGCCAAGAGCUAUAUGCAUUUCCUGCAAAGCUAAAACACGCCAUUAUGAUUAAAUGAUGUUCCAUAUCAAUUUCUGGAACAAACUGAGCUCUAAUAACCAACUUUAUGAUAAAAAAACCUAUAUGAUAGUGAGAACAAAAGAAAAGAGGCUAAGUUGUUUUCACUGAAGUUGAGGCAUCUUAACAGGUAAAUAGUUUUCAUAUCCCUUACAAGUUACAUCCCUAGAAUAUCAAGCCAAAAGCCCCAUUUAUUAACUUCUCCUUAAGAUAAGAAGUAGGGCUGGACAACAGGCGGUUUCAGAUUGUAAAUCAUCCAUUUGAAGAGAACCUCGUGUGGAAGAAUAUGUUAGACUUUUGAGUUUUGUAACUGAUAUUAAAUUAUUAGGAGAGUUAGUGGGUAAUUAUUUGUAUUAUUAUAUUAUUAAUUAAGAGUGUUUAGGUUUAUAAUAAAUAGAGGAAGACAUUGAGGGAGUUGAUUAUCUUCGAAUUGGAUAGGAAAAGGGGUCAUUUUGGCAUUGGGAGGUGCAGGCUCUCGAAGUUCUGCGAUACUAUUGUGUAAUUCAAAGAGAUUUUUCCUAUAUUCUUUUAUAUAACAAUUGGUUUCUAUCAACUGAUAUCAGAGCAGUUCUGAUCCAAGAAGUUUCUACCGUUGUGCUGUAAAUUUUGGCAUGAAUCUGACUGUAGAUUUGAUUCCAAGAUUUGAUGGAAGAGAGGCCUAUUGGUAGCUGAUCCAGGCAGAGCAAUAUUUUGGGUCAAGAAGAAUGAGUGAAGAGAUGAAGCUUGAGUGGGCUGUUGCAUUUGCAUUGAGAGGAGAUGCUCUUGAUUGGUGGAUUUCUUGGAAGGAGAGUCAUCCAAAUACUUGUUGGUGGAAUUUUGUAAAGGCCAUUCUCAAGAAAUUUCAACCAGAAGUUUGGGAUUGUCUAUUGGAGUCUGAAAACGAAUCACAGAAAAUCCAAGACAGCGAUGAAAUUCAAGAACCAAUAUCAUCUCCAACUGAAGAAAAGAUUGGUGGUAAAGUUGAAGACUCACAAAUCCAACAAUACAGUGAAAAAAAGUUUGUAAAGUGGAUAUCAAAUCUGAUUGCGUGGGCGUCGAAGUGAAAAAUACAGAUUCAUUGAAGGCUGCCAGUGAAGCAGAGGUCCAGAGAAGUGACGGAGAGUCGGCUUCUUCAUCACAGGCAAAAGACUCACUAUUGUCGGUGUUUGCUACUAUUCCUAAGAUGAAGUCUAGGAACAAGAAAUUUCCACCACCGGUGCCACUGUGGCCACAACAACUAGUCACGAAAGGACUGUCAUUAGCAAGAAAAUAUCCUAUUUCAUUUACAAAUUAUGGGAUCCGGGAGGAUACAUUUUUCCUACCGUGUAUUUCUUUCACCUUGAGGACAAGGUGAAUCUUUAGGGGGGAGUAUUGUUAUACUCUUGAGUUUUGUAACUGAUAUUAAAUUAUUAGGAGAGUUAGUGGGUAAUUAUUAGAAUUAUUAUAUUAUUAAUUAAGAGUGUUUAAGGUUAGAAUAAAAUAAGGGAAAACAGUAAGGGAGUUAGUCAUCUUCGAAUUGGAUAGGAAAAUGGACCAUUUUGGCAUUGGGAGGUGCAGACCCUCGAAGUUCUGCAGUACUAUUGUCUAAUUCAAAGGGAUUUUCCCUAUAUUCUUUUAUAUAACAGUUGGUUUCUAUCA